AUAGUCCUUAAAGGGGAGUAGCUUGUUCAGCAAAGUCGUCAUGACGGGAAAAUUCCCCGGCUUUGCUGGCAACAACUGUUGUUAGCGAGACCUUUACCGCAUGC
rnacentral:misc_RNA from 1 species